rnacentral:misc_RNA from 1 species
AAAUUAAAAUAAAAAUAUGCACUCCAAUUUGUUUGCUGGAAUAUGUACAUAGCUUCACGAUGUUGGACACAACAUCCUUCUAGCUCUGCUUGCAAUGAGGAAUUUACUCAAUUGGGAGAUUGUCAUUGUGUUGGUCAUGGAAAAUUAGGAAGAAAUAUAACAUCAUCGAUAGUCAUUUUGAACAAUUUGGACCUAGUUUGGUGUGAAACUGAUAUGAGGGAAACUGUGAAGAG